ACUCCUACGGGAGGCAGCAGUGGGGAAUAUUGCACAAUGGGCGCAAGCCUGAUGCAGCAACGCCGUGUGAGUGAAGAAGGUUUUCGGAUCGUAAAACUCUGUCCUAAGGGAAGAAACAAAUGACGGUACCUUAGGAGGAAGCCCCGGCUAACUACGUGCCAGCAGCCGCGGUAAUACGUAGGGGGCAAGCGUUAUCCGGAAUCACUGGGCGUAAAGGGUGCGUAGGCGGCUUAGCAAGCCAGGGGUGAAAGGCAUUGGCUCAACCAAUGUAAGCCUUUGGAACUGUUAAGCUUGAGUGCAGGAGAGGUAAGUGGAAUUCCUAGUGUAGAGGUGAAAUUCGUAGAUAUUAGGAGGAACACCAGUGGCGAAGGCGACUUACUGGACUGUAACUGACGCUGAUGCACGAAAGCGUGGGUAGCGAACAGGAUUAGAUUCCCUGGUAGCACAGAG
rnacentral:rRNA from 1 species